rnacentral:tRNA from 1 species
GACCCUUUCAUCUAGAGGCCAAGGAUACCGCCCUUUCACGGCGGUAACGAAGGUUCAAAUCCUUCAAGGGUCG